GAAAUGAGAAGUUUGCCCUUUACGCUGCCGUUAGGCAGUAUUUGGUUUACAGGUUGGUGGAUGCGGCGUUGAAGAAGAAGGUCUCACGAAUGGCUGCAAAUUUCGUUAUAAGAGAAAGUAAAUUAUUCUACAUUGGCCCCAGUGCACAUUUUUUAUGAGGCUGGUUGUGCUGUCUGAUGAGCAGAGGCGGGCUGUCCUGGAGGAGUGCCACAACAACCCUGGCACAGGGAACCAUGGGGGCGUGAGGGCGACCAUGGAGAGGGUUGUUGUGGGGUACUACUGGGAUAACAUAAAGGCAGAUGUGGCAGAUUGGGUCAAAAGCUGUCACAGAUGCCAAAAGAACGACCCCAUAAAGACUGUGUCUCCUGCCCUUCACCCUAUUAAGGUAGAGCUUACCUUGGUGUACCACUUGAAGCAACAAGUUAGGUGAUGUGGUAAU